rnacentral:lncRNA from 1 species
GAUAUCCAGCCGGCUCAGCUGCAGCUGCAGAUGAAGAUGCACCCCGGUCUAACGUGCGGACUGGAAUCCGGCCAUCUGCACCUCGUCUUCGAACCACUGCAAAAAAAAUGUUUAAAAAAAUAAUUAAAAUUUAAAAAAAAAAAAAAAAUUACGUACCGGAACACUUCAAAGAAGAGUUCCGGUUAGUAAAAAACAAAAAAAGCCUUCUGGAACACUUUCUUAAAGAGUUCCAGUAUACAUCAUCCAAACCGGAAGUCUUUAAGAAAGACUUCUGGUAUACAAGUAUACAAACCGGAAGACUUUCUACAAGACUUCCGGUUCAGUGCCCCUUAAAGGCAACAAACCGAAACUCUUUAGAGAAGUGUUCCGGUAUACAAUUAAUGAACCGGAAGACUUAC